rnacentral:rRNA from 1 species
UACAGAGGUCCCGAGCGUUGUUCGGAAUUACUGGGCGUAAAGGGCGCGUAGGCGGCCAUCUAAGUCAGACGUGAAAUCCCCCGGCUUAACCUGGGAACCGCGUCUGAUACUGGACGGCUUGAGUUUGGGAGAGGGAUGCAGAAUUCCAGGUGUAGCGGUGAAAUGCGUAGAUAUCUGGAGGAAUACCGGUGGCGAAGGCGGCAUCCUGGACCAACACUGACGCUGAGGCGCGAAAGCUAGGGGAGCAAACGGG